rnacentral:rRNA from 1 species
CCUACGGGAGGCAGCAGUGGGGAAUAUUGCACAAUGGGGGAAACCCUGAUGCAGCGACGCCGCGUGAGUGAAGAAGUAAUUCGUUAUGUAAAGCUCUAUCAGCAGGGAAGAAAAUGACGGUACCUGAGUAAGAAGCCCCGGCUAACUACGUGCCAGCAGCCGCGGUAAUACGUAGGGGGCAAGCGUGAUCCGGAUUUACUGGGUGGAAAGGGAGCGUAGACGGCAGUGCAAGUCUGGAGUGAAAGGCGGGGGCUCAACCCCCGGACUGCUCUGGAAACUGUACGGCUGGAGUGCAGGAGAGGUAAGUGGCAUUCCUAGUGUAGCGGUGAAAUGCGUAGAUAUUAGGAGGAACACCAGUGGCGAAGGCGGCUUACUGGACUGUAACUGACGUUGAGGCUCGAAAGCGUGGGGAGCAAACAGGAUUAGAUACCCCUGUAGUC